UACGGAAGGUCCUGUCGUUAUCCGGAUUUACUGGGUGUAAAGGGCGUGCAGCCGGGUGUGCAAGUCAGGCGUGAAAUGCAGGGGCUUAACCCCUGAACUGCGUUUGAAGCUGUACAUCUUGAGUACCGGAGGGGCAAUCGGAACUCCUAGUGUAGCGGUGAAAUGCGUAGAUAUUAGGAGGAACACCAGUGGCGAAGGCGGAUUGCUGGACGGCAACUGACGGUGAGGCGCGAAAGCGUGGGGAGCAAAC
rnacentral:rRNA from 1 species